rnacentral:rRNA from 1 species
CAUGGGCACCUGAUCCUUCAAUGCCGCGUGAGUGAAGAAGGCCUUCGGGUUGUAAAGCUCUUUUGUCAGGGAAGAAACACCGGCUCUAACACAGUCCGGGAAUGACGGUACCUGAAGAAUAAGCACCGGCUAACUACGUGCCAGCAGCCGCGGUAAUACGUAGGGUGCGAGCGUUAAUCGGAAUUACUGGGCGUAAAGCGUGCGCAGGCGGUUAUACAAGACAGGCGUGAAAUCCCCGGGCUUAACCUGGGAAUGGCGCCUGUGACUGUAUGGCUAGAGUGUGUCAGAGGGGGGUAGAAUUCCACGUGUAGCAGUGAAAUGCGUAGAUAUGUGGAGGAAUACCAAUGGCGAAGGCAGNCCCCUGGGAUAACACUGACGCUCAUGCACGAAAGCGUGGGGAGCAAACAGGAUUAGAUACCCUGGUAGUCCACGCCCUAAACGAUGCUGACUAGUUGUUCGGGACUUACAUCCUGAGUAACGUAGCUAACGCGUGAAGUCAGNCGCCUGGGGAGUACGGGCGCAAGAUUAAAACUCAAAGGAAUUGACGGGGAACCGGACAAGCGGUGGAUGAUGUGGAUC